rnacentral:snRNA from 1 species
GUCCUCACUUUGCCAGGACAUAUACUUAAACUGGAAUGAUACAGAGAAGAUUAGCAUGGGCCUCUGUGCAAGGAUGACACUUAAAUUCAUGAAGUGUUCCAUAUUUUU